AAGGGAUUCUGAUGUUGGUCACACUCCAAGAGUUUUAAAAUGAGUGGCGAACACAGAAUCCAUACU
rnacentral:pre_miRNA from 1 species